GGAUUAGAUACCCUGGUAGUCCACGCCGUAAACGAUGUCGACUAGCCGUUGGAUUCCUUGAGGAUUGAGUGGCGCAGUUAACGCGAUAAGUCGACCGCCUGGGGAGUACGGCCGCAAGGUUAAAACUCAAAUGAAUUGACGGGGGCCCGCACAAGCGGUGGAGCAUGUGGUUUAAUUCGAUGCAACGCGAAGAACCUUACCAGGUCUUGACAUCCAGAAGACUGAGCAGAGAUGCUUGGGUGCCUUCGGGAAUUCUGUGACAGGUGCUGCAUGGCUGUCGUCAGCUCGUGCCG
rnacentral:rRNA from 1 species